rnacentral:rRNA from 1 species
AGCCUUGUACACACCGCCCGUCAAGCCACCCGAGUUGGCCGCACCCGAAGUAGUAGUUCUAUCCGCAAGGGGGGACGCUCCUAAGGUGAUGCCGGUGAGGGGGACU